ACUGACGCUCAGGGACGAAAGCGUGGGUAGCGAACGGGAUUAGAUACCCCGGUAGUCCACGCCGUAAACGAUGGAUACUAGUUGUUGGAGGACUCGACCCCUCCAGUGACGUCGCUAACGCAUUAAGUAUCCCGCCUGGGGAGUACGGUCGCAAGAUUAAAACUCAAAGGAAUAGACGGGGACCCACACAUGCGGUGGAGCAUGUGGUUUAAUUCGACGAUAAGCGAGGAACCUUACCUGGACUUGACAUCCCGAGAAUUUCCCCGAAAAGGGAAAGUGCCGCAAGGAACUCGGUGACAGGUGCUGCAUGGUUGUCGUCAGCUCGUGCCUUGAGGUGUUCGGUUAAGUCCGUGAACGAGCGCAACCCUUGUCCUGUGUUGUAUUUUCACAGGAGACUGCCGGCCCUAAGUCGGAGGAAGGUAAGGAUGACGUCAAAUCAGCAUGGCCAUUAUGUCCAGGGCUACACACGUGCUACAAUGGCAGGUACAAUAGGCAGCAAACCCGCGAGGGGGAGCCAAUCCUCAAAAACCUGUCCUAAGUUCGAAUUGAUGGCUGCAACUCGCCAUCAUGAAGUUGGAAUCGCUAGUAACCGCGCAUCACCCAUGGCGCGGUGAAUAUGUUCCUGGGUCUUGUACUCACCGCCCGUCACGUCAUGAAAGGUGGAGGCACCCUGAAGUACC
rnacentral:rRNA from 1 species